CCCAAGGGUUGGGCUGUUCGCCCAUUAAAGCGGUACGCGAGCUGGGUUCAGAACGUCGUGAGACAGUUCGGUCCCUAUCCGUCGUGGGCGCAGGAAAUUUGAGAGGAGCUGUCCUUAGUACGAGAGGACCGGGAUGGACGCACCGCUGGUGUACCAGUUGUCUUGCCAAAGGCAUCGCUGGGUAGCUAUGUGCGGACGGGAUAAGUGCUGAAAGCAUCUAAGCAUGAAGCCCCCCUCGAGAUGAGAUUUCCCAUUCGUAAGAAGUAAGAUCCCUCAGAGACGAUGAGGUAGAUAGGUCUGAGGUGGAAGCGUAGCGAUACGUGGAGCUGACAGAUACUAAUCGAUCGAGGACUUAACCA
rnacentral:rRNA from 2 species